GCCUUCGUGGUGUAGUGGUCAGCACGCUUGACGCGUAAUCGAGAGGUCCGUGGUUCGAUUCCCGGCGAAGGCG
rnacentral:tRNA from 1 species